rnacentral:ncRNA from 1 species
CCCUCUAAGUGUGGUAGGCGUGUCCAACAAUUGGUAUCAGAGUGGGCCUUCAAUACAAGCCUUAACAAGAUUGAAGGAGAUCCAUAGACACACAAAUGGAUGAUGAAGGCGGGUAAACGGCGGGAGUAAAUAUGACUCUCUUAAGGUAGCCAAAUGCCUUGUCAUCUAAUUAGUGAUGCACAUGAAUGG